rnacentral:rRNA from 1 species
ACUCCUACGGGAGGCAGCAGUGGGGAAUAUUGGACAAUGGGCGAAAGCCUGAUCCAGCCAUGCCGCGUGUGUGAAGAAGGCCCUCGGGUUGUAAAAGCACUUUCAGCGAGGAAGAACGCCUAGUGGUUAAUACCAUCAUGGAAAGACAUCACUCGCAGAAGAAGCACCGGCUAACUCCGUGCCAGCAGCCGCGGUAAUACGGAGGGUGCAAGCGUUAAUCGGAAUUACUGGGCGUAAAGCGCGCGUAGGUGGCUUGAUAAGCCGGUUGUGAAAGCCCGCCGGCUCAACCUGGGAACGGCAUCCGGAACUGUCAAGCUAGAGUGCAGGAGAGGAAGGUAGAAUUCCCGGCUGUAGCGGUGAAAUGCGUAGAGAUCGGGAGGAAUACCAGUGGCGAAGGCGGCCUUCUGGACUGACACUGACACUGAGGUGCGAAAGCGUGGGUAGCAAACAGGAUUAGAUACCCUGGUAGGCUCUG